CAGGCCAAUGCUCUAUCCACUGAGGCAAACUGGCUAGGGCCCCUUGUACAUCUUUUUAAUUCAACCUUGGUAUCUCCUGGGCAGCUUUGAUCCUAUCUCAUUAAAUUCAACCUAUAUCCUACAUACUUUUUAAGUCUCACAACUUUUUAUUUUGAUCAUCAUCAUGAACGAUCAUCAUCCAUUCAUUGACUCAAGUGUACAGCCAGGAUACAGCCUUACUGCAGAUCUAUUUGAAUCUGGUUACUGACCAGUAUCUAAUUCACCUAAUUAUCUCUGUAUCUCCCUGUGAAACAACAUUGGUUUCUUAGAUUUUAAAACUUCUAACAGAAAAAGAAGUGAAUAUUGUCUUGCCAACACACUCCAUUAUUCCAAGAACUUUUGUGCUUAAACCUGGAAUGGUUCUAUUUUGGGGCACCUAAGGAUGCAUAGAUUUUCUGCAGGGAAGUCAGUCAGCUUGGUUUACAGUAGUGGCUUCCAACUUCCUUCCUGUGCACAUUACCUCCUUGGAGAAGGCAGACACUAUAUAUCAGAAGCACGCAGGUG